rnacentral:snoRNA from 1 species
ACGACCUUACUUGAACAGGAUCUGUUCUAUAGUGUCGUACCUCUGUAUCCUUUAGCACAAAGGAGACAGGGUCACAAGUCUGGUUGACGAAUCAUGACCUUAUGAUCAGAGCUGUGAUUAACAGCUUCCUGGUCCUGUACUGGACCAUCCAGCAGUAGAGGAUCGUUCUCAGCCAGUUGUUCCUUCUGGCUCGGGUGUUCACAAGGUGUCCGACAGACC